GCGGUGGUGGCGUGAAGCUGCUGACCGUCGUCGUCGGAUUUUAGAAAGGGAAGGUCGGAAUUGGGAACCUUUGGUUCCAGGUGGCUUGUAGCGUUUGUCAUCAGCGGCAGCCAUGGCUAUUGCUAUGGUCGCCGAGAAUUGGAGCGAGAGGAGACCGAAUUUGGGAGCCUAGGGUUCGGCGGCGGCGGCUCCACCGUCGUUCUGUCCGGAGAAGGGGAGAGGUGAAAUGAGGGGAGAUGAGGGGAUGGCUGCAACUAACUGCUGCUGUUCGCUGGUCUGUUUCGAGGGACGUCAGGCGGCGGCGGUAGGCCUUGUCGACUGCUGCGGCCGUCGAUUUUGAGAGGGAGGCGGCGGGAGUGACAGGAGUCGAGGGAGAAGUGUUCCGGGCGGCGCUCGUCGCCGGGCACGAUGGAGCAGUCGAGGGAGAGAGGAGCAGUUGAGGGAGAGGAGAGUUAAGGGGCGACGGCGUGUCCGGCGGUGGCUGCCGUCAUCCGCCGGAAGAGAGAAGGAGGAAGAGGGGUGCUGCUGCGCAGCUGGUAUGUGUGUGUGCGUUGUGAGGCAGAGAGACGAGAAAAGGGAUAAAGAAGGGGUAUAGGGUUUGAGUGUUGGGCUGUUGGGCCGAAUUUUUUUUUUAACUGGUUGGGCUGAUUUUUAUUUUGUAACUUGGGCUCAGUUUAUUUAAUUAAAACAGCUGGGCCUUAUUACUUGGAUUGUGCAGAUUUUUCAUUUGAUGGACUGCAUUAUUAUUUUAAAUGGGCUACCCAAUAUUUAUUAAUUAGACUUAUUAAGUUUGAUUAAUUAUUUUAAUUUGCAUAAUAAUAUUUAACUUAUUAUUAUGUGCAUAUUUUAAGUAAAUACUUAUUAUAUGUUUAAGUAUGAAAUGAGUCAUGCAUUGCAUCAUGAUUUAAUUGGUUAAUUAUAAUUCCAUUAUUAAAGAAAGACGAGUAAGAAUAUUGUUGGUGUUCUUAACUCAAGAGAAAUGUUUUCAAUUAUUUAUUCAUUAAAUUUUGAAACCCGGCGUGAUGAAUCAUAGAAUGUUAAGCAUUUUUCCCCAAGAUAUUAAGUUAGCUUCACGAGACCUAUUAAGAAUAGAAUUUCUUGUAGGCUUUGUGAUGACCAGGAGGAUUAGCGCUACUUUUCCAAGACAGGUUUAUAUGUGUAUGAUCUUCAGGCUUUGCCUAUCCAGGUUGAGCAGCUGAUGGAAUGGAAUGGUGUUGAGCGGGUGUUCCUUUGACAUUUCAAGAAAUGUAACCUUGAGUAUACAUCUUCAUAUGUAUAUCUCACACGUUUUCCGCUGCAAAACACUUUGAUUAGGAUAACUCUAUGUUAUAAAGUUGUGACACGUGUUAUUGGGUAACCCACCUUAAUUAGUUCUCCUUUAUGUGUAUGUUUUAUAAGUAUCCAAAUAAUCAUAUAUGAUCCUAGCAUUUUAUCUAUGA